AGAGCGAACGCUGGCGGCAGGCCUAACACAUGCAAGUCGAACGGACCCUUCGGGGUUAGUGGCGGACGGGUGAGUAACACGUGGGAACGUGCCUUUAGGUUCGGAAUAGCUCCUGGAAACGGGUGGUAAUGCCGAAUGUGCCCUUCGGGGGGAAAGAUUUAUCACCUUUAGAGCGGCCCGCGUCUGAUUAGCUUGUUGGUGAGGUAAUGGCUCACCAAGGCUACGAUCAGUAGCUGGUCUGAGAGGAUGACCAGCCACAUUGGGACUGAGACACGGCCCAAACUCCUACGGGAGCAGCAGUGGGAAUUUUGGACAAUGGGCGAAAGCCUGAUCCAGCAAUGCCGCGUGCAGGAAGAAGGCCUUCGGGUGUAAACUGCUUUUGUACGGAACGAAACGGUCUGCCUUAAUACAGUGGACUAAUGACGGUACCGUAAGAAUAAGCACCGCUAACUACGUGCCAGCAGCCGC
rnacentral:rRNA from 1 species